rnacentral:rRNA from 1 species
UACGUAGGUGGCAAGCGUUUGUCCGGAAUUAUUGGGCGUAAAGCGCGCGCAGGCGGUUUCUUAAGUCUGAUGUGAAAGCCCACGGCUCAACCGUGGAGGGUCAUUGGAAACUGGGAAACUUGAGUGCAGAAGAGAAGAGCGGAAUUCCACGUGUAGCGGUGAAAUGCGUAGAGAUGUGGGGGAACACCAGUGGCGAAGGCGGCUCUUUGGUCUGUAACUGACGCUGAGGCGCGAAAGCGUGGGGAGCGAACAGG